UACAGAGGUCCCGAGCGUUGUUCGGAUUCACUGGGCGUAAAGGGUGCGCAGGUGGGUUGGCAAGUUUGAUGUGAAAGCCCCGGGCUUAACCCGGGAAUGGCAUUGAAUACUGCUGAUCUGGAGGAUUGGAGGGGGGGACUGGAAUUCUUGGUGUAGCAGUGAAAUGCGUAGAUAUCAAGAGGAACACCAGUGGCGAAAGGCGAGUCCCUGGACAAUACCUGACACUGAGGCACGAAAGCUAGGGGAGCAAACAGG
rnacentral:rRNA from 1 species